UACGUAGGGGGCAAGCGUUGUCCGGAAUCAUUGGGCGUAAAGAGCGUGUAGGCGGCCCGGUAAGUCCGCUGUAAAAGUCAAAGGCUCAACCUUUGAAUGUCAGUGGAUACUGCCGGGCUAGAGUCCGGAAGAGGCGAGUGGAACUCCUGGUGUAGCGGUGGAAUGCGCAGAUAUCAGGAAGAACACCAACGGCGAAGGCAGCUCGCUGGGACGGUACUGACGCUGAGACGCGAAAGCGUGGGUAGCAAACAGG
rnacentral:rRNA from 1 species